rnacentral:rRNA from 1 species
CAGCAGCCGCGGUAAUACGGAAGGUCCGGGCGUUAUCCGGAUUUAUUGGGUUUAAAGGGAGCGUAGGCCGGAGAUUAAGCGUGUUGUGAAAUGUAGAUGCUCAACAUCUGAACUGCAGCGCGAACUGGUUUCCUUGAGUACGCACAAAGUGGGCGGAAUUCGUGGUGUAGCGGUGAAAUGCUUAGAUAUCACGAAGAACUCCGAUUGCGAAGGCAGCCUGCUAAGCUGCAACUGACAUUGAGGCUCGAAAGUGUGGGUAUCAAACAGGAUUAGAUACCCUGGUAGUCCACACGGUAAACGAUGAAUACUCGCUGUUCGCGAUAUACAGCAAGCGGCCAAGCGAAAGCGUUAAGUAUUCCACCUGGGGAGU